AAUGGGGGCAACCCUGAUCCAGCCAUCCCGCGUGCAGGAAGAAGGCCCUACGGGUUGUAAACUGCUUUUAUGAGGGAAGAAAUGACUUGAUUUAUCGAGUUUUGACGGUACCUCAGGAAUAAGCACCGGCUAACUCCGUGCCAGCAGCCGCGGUAAUACGGAGGGUGCGAGCGUUAUCCGGAAUUACUGGGUUUAAAGGGUGCGUAGGCGGCCUAAUAAGUCAGGAGUGAAAGUUAUCCGCUUAACGGGGAAAUUGCUUUUGAUACUGUUAGGCUAGAAUAAGGAUGAGGUAGGCGGAAUGUGGCAAGUAGCGGUGAAAUGCAUAGAUAUGCCAUAGAACACCAAUUGCGAAGGCAGCUUACUGGACCUUAAUUGACGCUGAGGCACGAAAGCGUGGGGAGCGAA
rnacentral:rRNA from 1 species